GUGCCAGCCGCCGCGGUAAUACAGGGGGUGCAAACGUUGCUCGGAAUUAUUGGGCGUAAAGCGCGCGUAGGCGGCUAUUUAAGUCGGAUGUGAAAGCCCCUGGCUCAACUGGGGAAGUGCACCCGAAACUGAAUGGCUUGAGUGCAAAAGAGGGCCGCGGAAUUCCCGGUGUAGAGGUGAAAUUCGUAGAUAUCGGGAGGAACACCGGUGGCGAAGGCGGCGGCCUGGGUUGACACUGACGCUGAGGCGCGAAAGCGUGGGGAGCAAACAGGAUUAGAAACCCUUGUAGUCC
rnacentral:rRNA from 1 species